rnacentral:rRNA from 1 species
CCUGGUUGAUCCUGCCAGUAUUCAUAUUCUUGUCUCAAAGAUUAAGCCAUGCAUGUCUAAGUAUAAACUAAUUCAAACUGUGAAAUUGUGGAUGGCUCAUUAAUCAGUUAUAGUUUUUUUUAUGGUACCAUACUAUCGGAUAAUUGUAGUAAUUCUAGAGCUAAUAUGUGCACCAAGUCUCGACUCUUUGGAAAGGAUUCAUUUUUUGGAUAAAAGGUUAGCGCGGGCUUGCCUUCUUCUCCAGUGAAUCAUGAUAACUCGAUGGAUCGCACAGCCCUUGUGCUGGUGAUGCUUCAUUCAAAUUUCUGCCCUAUCAACUUUCGAUGGUAGGAUAGAGGCCUACGAUGGUGGUGACGGGUGAUGGAGAAUUAGGGUUUGAUUCUAGAGAGGGAGCCUAAGAAAUGGCUACCACAUCCAAGGAAGGCAACAAGCAAACAAAUUACCUAAUCCUAACAUGGGGAGGUAGUGACAAUAAAUAACAAUAUUUGGCUCAUCGAGUCUAGUAAUUGGAAUGAGUACAAUCUAAAUCCCUUAAUGAGGAUCCAUUGGAGGGCAAGUCUGGUGCUAGCUGCCGCGGUAAUUCUAGUACCAAUAGCGUAUAUUUAAGUUGUUGUAGUUAAAAGGCAUGUAGUUGGAUCUUGGGUCGUAAAGGUCGGUCCGCCUACUCGGUUUGCACCUGUCUUUCUAUCCCUUUUUCGGCGGCAUGCUCCUAGCCUUAAUUGGCUGGGUCGUAGCUCCGACGUUGUUACUUUGAAAAAAUUAAAGUGCUCAAAGCAAGCUUAUGCUCUAAAUACAUUAGCAUGGAAUAACGUGAUAGGAGUCUAGUCCUAUUGUGUUGGCCUUUGGGACUAGAGUAAUGAUUAAUAUGGACUGUCGGGGGCAUUCGUGUUUCAUUGUCAGAGGCAAAAUUCUUGGAUUUAUGAAAGAUAGACCACUGCGAAAGAAUUUGCCAAGGAUGUUUUCAUUAGUUAGGAACAAAAUUUCGGGGCUCGAACAAUCAGAUACCAUCCUAGUCUCAACCAUAAACGAUGCCGACCAGGGAUCGGCGGAUGUUGCUCUAAGGACUCUGCCAGCAUCUUUUGAUAAAUCAGCGUGUUUGGGUUCCAGGGGGAGUAUGGUUGCAAGGAUAAAACUUAAAGGAAUUGACAGAACGACACCAUCAGGAGUGGAGCCUGCGGCCUAAUUUGACUCAACACGAGGAAACUUACCAGGUCCAGACAUAGUAAGGACUAACAGAUUGAGAGCUCUUUCUUUGUUCUAUGGGUGGUGGUGCAUGGCCAUUCUUAGUUGGUGCAGCGAUUUGUCUGGUUAAUUCUGAUAAUGAAGGAGACCUCAUCCUGCUAACUAGUUACGCGGAUGUUCCCCUUCACGGCCAACUUCUUAGAGGGACUAUGGCCAUUUAGGCCAUGGAAGUUUGAGGCAAUAAAAAUUUUGUGACUCCCUUAGAUGUUCUGGACCACAUGCACGCAACACUGAUGUAGCCAAUGAGUUUUUCUUCCUGGUUCGAGAGGACCAGGAAAUCUUCUCAAAUUGCAUCAUGAUGGGAAUAAACCAUUGCAAUUAUUGGUCUUCAAUGAGGAAUUCCUAGUAAGCGUGUAUCAUUAACUCGUGUUGACUACGUCCCUGCCAUUUGUACACACUGCUCGUCACUCCUACCAAUUGAAUGAUCCGGUGAAGUGUUCAGAUUGCGUCGAUGAUAGUGGUUUGACGCUGUCGAUGUCGUGAGAAGUUCAUUGAACCUUAUCAUUUAGAGGAAGGAGAAGUCGUAACAAGUUUACCAUAGGUGAACCUUUGGUAG